GACAGAGGGGGCAAGCGUUGCUCGGAAUUACUGGGCGUAAAGGGCGCGUAGGCGGGAUGGCAAGUCGGUCGUGAAAUCCCUCGGCUCAACUGAGGAUCGUCGAUCGAUACUGCCGUUCUUGAGGAUUGCAGAGGAGACUGGAAUUCCUGGUGUAGCGGUGAAAUGCGCAGAUAUCAGGAAGAACACCCGUGGCGAAAGCGGCUCUCUGGAACGGUACUGACGCUGAGACGCGAAAGCGUGGGGAGCGAACAGG
rnacentral:rRNA from 1 species